rnacentral:misc_RNA from 1 species
AAAAAUACAAAGCUCAUCGACACAAGCCAACACAUCAGUAUACAAGAAAUAGCUGUAUUCCAACUCUAAUUAUUAAAUGGCGAUGGAAAUAGCAUCACAACAAAUUGUACUAAACAUGUUUCUUUUAUCAGACUAAAACCUGUUCUAAUAUCAAACAACUUCAGCAGUAAAUACGAAGAGUAGUCGAAAAUCACAAAAUAAGGAGUACAAGACUAGGCUACUAAGUUGUCACUGCUGUCCAUCACCCGACUCUUGUUUUGAAGCUUCCCUGAUCUCAUCCCCGGCAUCAUCCGUGGUAUCAGAAGUCCAAAGUGUGAGAUUGUCUCGGAGAAGCUGCAUAAUCAAUGUACUGUCCUUGUAAGA